rnacentral:misc_RNA from 1 species
GACGAACCGUCCAAAUGUUAUUCGGAAUUACUGGGCUUAAAGGGUGCGUAGGCGGCCGUCUAAGUAGGGUGUGAAAGCUCCUGGCUCAACCGGGGAAUGGCGCUCUAAACUGGACGGCUUGAGUAAGAUAGGGGUGUGCGGAACUUCCGGUGGAGCGGUGAAAUGUGUUGAUAUCGGAAGGAACGCCGUUGGCGAAAGCGGCACACUGGGUCUUGUCUGACGCUGAGGCACGAAAGCCAGGGGAGCGAACGGG